AAUUACGGCCAUACACGAUUAAAAUCACCGCAUCCCGUCCGAUCUGCGCAGUUAAGAAAUCGAUGGCAGAGUCAGUACUAUGGUGGGGGACCACAUGGGAAUACUCUGUGCUGUAAUUU
rfam:Lobosporangium transversale strain NRRL 3116 BCR41scaffold_116, whole genome shotgun sequence.